AUGGAGGGUACCUGGGCAAAGGCAUCAAUAGCAUGGUUGAAGAACAUAGAUGAUGUGCUAAUCGAAGAUUUUGAAGUGGAGGUGCAAACCUUUGACUUAAUUGUUUGUUGCUUCUAUUCUUCUCCUUUAUUUUUGUUGCACUUGUUGCAACAGAAACUUGCACAUCAUUCUUGUUUUGACUGCUUCCGUUGGUUAUCCAUGCCCUGUUCCUCUUUUUCAGCCCUUGUGCACCAAGGUUUUGCAAAAAAAAUCCACCAAAGAAUUAACCUCGGCUAUGAUUCCAUUUUAGACAAUGCCAACUCUUUCUUGAACUUGUGCACUCUCAAUUUCUUUUGUUUAGACUUACACCUUGACUAG
rnacentral:rRNA from 1 species